rnacentral:lncRNA from 1 species
UGGGCCCCCGUCCCAGGCAACCAGAUUGGGGGGCACCCCCAGAGGGAGGCUCUGCUGGCUGCCCCCUGUCCCUGCGGAAGCAGCGGGAGGGCAGGGUCCGAUGUCCGGGUUUCUAUGCCAGGCAGGGAUGAUGAUCCCUGUCACCGGAUGAUCUUAUCCCUGUACCCUCAGCGCCGCCGUCUGCAGUGGAAAAUGCUGUUACUGCUCGGAGGUGUCUAGCUCUCUGACCCAGGAUGGAGUGCAGUGGUGUGAUCACAGCUCAUUGCAGUCUCCAACUCCCAGGCUCAAACCAUCCUCCAGCCUCAGCCUCCCAAGUAACUGGGACCACAGGCACGUACCACCAUGCCUGGCUAAUUUUGUAAGUUUUUUGCGGAGACAAACAAUGUCUUGUCACGUUGCCCAGGCUAGUCCCGAACCCCUGGGCACAAGUGAUCCUCCUGCCUCGACCUCCCAAAGUGCUGGUGUGAGCCACUGCCCCCCCUCUGGGAAUCACUUUAGAUUCAGACAGAUCUGGGUUUGAAUUUGUUUGUGUUACUUACUAACUGUGAGACCUUGGAAAGUUAGUUCACCUGUCAGAACAACAAGAGUACCCAACAUUUAUUGAGCACCUCCUAUGUGCCAGACACAGCUCUGUGUUUAAAGGCUUUAUUUAGCUCAUUUAAUCCUCAAGGUAACCUUAGGAGGGAGGAGUUAUUCUCCUCAUUUUACAGAGGAGGGGACAGAGGCUCCAGCUGCCCUAGAGACAGAUUCACCUCUCUGAGCCUCAGUUUUCUCAUCUGUAAAAGGGGACAAGCAUAGUAACUCCCCGUGGGCCAUUCACUCUCAUGAGUCUUGCCUCUUUCCCGAUGAGGUCGCGGAGGCUGUGAGCAGGUUCCUGGCUGCCCAGAGACAUUCAGGGUGGCUCUUCCCCUAAGGCCCUUCAUCCUUGGAGUACCCUCCACGAGAGGGCAGCUCCAGUUGGGCUUACCUGGGAUGGAGGUAUAGGAGGAAGGUCUGCCCUGCAGCUGGAAACCUCCCUCCUAAGGGACAAGCUUGCUGCCCUGGCCUGCCCUUGAGGGUCAGAGGGUGGGGCAGGCAGAGAGAAAAGCUAUAUCCGGAGAGGGGACUGAGGGGCCACAGUGAGGCUGGGCAGGGCUGGGAGUGACUGCCCUCCACCCUUCACACACACCCCUGGACAUUCAUUCUGCAAAUCAGUACCAUUCCAGGCACUGGAGCCAUCAGAGUACAAAACAGACGCAAACUUCUGUCCUCUUGAAGUCCACUCUGGGAGACAGGCGAUGACACACACAACAUAUGUAUCAAAGUGAGCUGGGAGCCUUGUGAGGCUUUGAGCAGAGGAAGGACAUGGUCUGGCUCUGGCUGCCGAGUGGAGCAGGAAGAGAAAGAAGGUGAAGGGGAUGCUGCUGUCACCAGAGCCCCAGGUGAUGCUUGGUGGAUUGCACACGGGUAGAAAGAAGUGAUCCGGAUCAGGACAUAACUUGAAAAAGGAGCUAUUCCCUGUGCUGAGCUUAGAAACAGGUUUCUGGGCGGGGCGCGGUGGCUCAUGCCUGUAAUCCCACCACUUUGGGAGGCCAAGACAGGUGGAUCACAAGGUCAGGAGUUCAAGACCAGCUUGGCCAAGAUGGUGAAAUCCCAUCUCUACUAAAAAUACAAAAAUCAGCCGGGAGUGGUGGCGGG